GGAUAUGAGGGUGAUCUGGCUGUGACAUCUGUCACCCCAUUGAUGGCUAGGGUUGAUUUGGCUGAUCUGGCUGGCUAGGCUGGUGUCCUCUCCCUCCCUCAAUGCUCCAUGUGUAUCCCUCCUGAAGCUGCACACUCAGUCAAAGAGGACAACCUUCACUGAUAGAGGAGGACCGGCCUUCAGUCAAGAGUAUAGGAGUAGCUGUGCUCCCCUGCUAGAACCUCCAAACAAGCUCUCAAGAGAACAAAUGAUACCAAAUGCUGGCGAGAAUGUGGAGAAAGGGGAAUGCUCAUUUACUGCUGGUGGGACUGCAAACU
rnacentral:snRNA from 1 species